UCAGAUGUGGUGUAGAGGGAAAACGGCCUCUAAUCAUAAAGCCAUUGUCUGUGGCAACAAGGGGCAGGCCAGGGUUUGAAUCCCUGCAUUUAAG